rnacentral:rRNA from 1 species
UACAGAGGUCUCAAGCGUUGUUCGGAUUCAUUGGGCGUAAAGGGUGUGUAGGUGGCGCGCUAAGUCGGGUGUGAAAUUUCGGAGCUUAACUCCGAAACUGCAUUCGAUACUGGCGUGCUUGAGGGCUGGAGAGGAGACUGGAAUUCAUGGUGUAGCAGUGAAAUGCGUAGAGAUCAUGAGGAAGACCAGUGGCGAAGGCGGGUCUCUGGACAGUUCCUGACACUGAGACACGAAGGCCAGGGGAGCAAACGGG